rnacentral:rRNA from 1 species
GACGAACGCUGGCGGCGUGCUUAACACAUGCAAGUCGAACGGAAAGGCCCUGCUUUUGUGGGGUGCUCGAGUGGCGAACGGGUGAGUAACACGUGAGUAACCUGCCCUUGACUUUGGGAUAACUUCAGGAAACUGGAUCUAAUACCGGAUAGGAGCUCCUGCUCCAUGGUGGGGGUUGGAAAGUUUCGGCGGGUGGGUUUGGACUGGCGGCUUAUGAGCUUGUUGGUGGGGUAGUGGCUUACCAAGGCUGUGAAGGAUAGCCGGCCUGAGAGGGUGACCGGCCACAUGGGGACUGAGAGACGGACCAGACUCCAACGGUAGGCAGUAGGGGGGAAUAUGGUCCAGCGGGCGGACGUCUGAUGCAGAAACGCUGCGGGUGGGAUGAGGGUCUGGGGGGUGUAAACCGCUUUCGCCUGUGACGAAGCGUGAGUGACGGUAAUGGGUAAAGAAGCACCGGCUAACUACGUG